CACCAUUGUUGUGUGACUGUGUGUGUAUGGAAUCCAACAAACUUUUCAUGAUGUUGUCAGAGGUCAGUAAUCCAAAGUAGCUUUAAUUAAUUAAUUAAUUAAUAUUUUUUUGUAAAAUAAAGUAGCUUUACUUAUUUGCACUUUACUUGAUCCUUCCUAACCAGAAUAUUGAACAUUAAACAACUGGCUUAUCACUUCUUCCUCUGAAGAAGAAACAAACAGCUAGUGUCUCUCUUCAGCUUUCUCUCUCUAAAGGCUCUUCACAGUGUCCUCUGUCUCUCAGUGGAAGAAAAGAAAAGAACAUGGCUGAAGGUAUAGUGUGUGGAGCACUUCUCUCGGCUUCCUUUCAAGUAUUGUUUAGUAAGUUGCUUUCUCGUGAGUUCAUAAGCUUCGUUUCCAAACGAAAGUGCGAUGAUGGACUCAUAGACAAGCUCAAGACUAAUUUUCUCGCCCUCCAAGCAGUGCUGGAUGACGCCGAGGACAAGCAGAUCACCAACCAGCAUGUGAAAGCUUGGCUUGACGAGCUCCAACAUGUCGUCUACCAAGCUGAUGACUUGCUGGACGAGAUCGCUACGAAAGCCUUGAGGGUCAAAUUAGAAGCUGAUUACGACCAGUCCCAGUCCCAAAGCAGCACAACUCAGGUUGGUUUCACUCGAUUUCUUCGUUUGAUCAAGAAUUCUCUGUUGCGCAUUAAUAAAUUCGUCGUCUCGAAUUCUGUUUAUCUCUCUGAUGAAGAGAUAGAGUCUAGGAUGAAAGAAAUCAUUAGCAAGUUAGAGUAUUUUGUUGAGCAAAAAAAAACUCUUCAAUUGAGGGAAUUUGUUGGAAGGAAACCAUCACAGAGACUGCCAACUGCAUCUUUGGUAUAUGAAGAUGAGGUCUGUGGUAGGAAGGACGACAGAGAGAAGAUAAUUAAAUUGUUGUUGUCCGGCAACGCAGUUGAAAAUGAGAUGUGUGUGAUCCCCAUUGUAGGUAUGGGUGGGGUGGGCAAGACAACCCUUGCCCAGUUGGUAUACAACGAUGCUCGAGUCAAUGAGCAUUUUCAUAUGAAAUCGUGGGUUUGCGUUUCUGAUGCAUUUGAUAUUUCCAUGAUAACAAAGAAAAUUUUGGAUGGUGUCACCUCAUCAAACAAUAACAUCAACGACCUCGAUGACCUUCAAAUCAAGUUGAAAGAGAGCUUGGCAGGGAAGAGAUUCCUAAUUGUUUUAGACGAUGUCUGGAAUGACAAUUACAUUGAUUGGGACCUCUUGAGAAGACCUUUCAGAGCUGGAGCACAGGAGAGUAGGAUCAUUGUGACGACGCGCAAUGACAAUGUCGCAUCAAUGAUGGGCACAAUUACUAGUCAUCCCGUGGAGCAAUUGCCUAUUGAAGAUUGUUGGUCAUUAUUUGCAAAACAUGCAUUUGUGAAUGGAGAUUAUAUGGCUUAUCCAGAGCUACAGAGUAUUGGCAGAGAAAUUGUGAAGAAAUGUGGAGGCCUUCCUUUAGCAGUAAAAUCACUUGGAGGUCUCUUGCGGUCUAAAUUGGAAAUUGAGGAAUGGAAAAAUAUAUUAAAAAGCGAGAUAUGGGAUUUGGAUCAAAACAUUCCUCCAGCUCUAAAAUUGAGUUAUCAUUAUCUUCCUCCGCAUUUAAAGAGAUGCUUUGCAUACUGCUCGAUAUUUCCGAAGGAUUACAAAUUUGAAAAGGAGAAGUUAGUCCAGUUAUGGAUAGCUUUAGAUCUUGUGCAGCAACCCAAAACCAACAAAUCAAUGGAAGAUGAAGGUAAUGACUACUUUCGUGAACUAUUAUCAAGGUCUUUCUUUCAAAUAUUUAGUCAUGACAACGAUUCUGAUUUUCUAAUGCAUGACUUGAUCCAUAACUUAGCUCAAGUUAUAUCUGGAGAAUUUUGUUUUAGGCUAGACAAGCCACUUGAUUAUAUCUGUGAAAAAGUUUGUCAUUUCUCAUAUGUUCGCGGCAACUACGACGCAUCUGAGAAAUUCAAGGCUGUUAAUGAGGUUAAGUGUUUAAGGACAUUCAUAUCAUUUUCAAGAGAUCAACGGCGUUGUUACUUAGGCAAUAAGGUACUACAUGAUAUGUUGCCAAUCCUGAGAUGCUUAAGGGUUCUAUCUCUGUCAAACUAUCAUAUUUCUGAAUUGCCUCAAUCAAUCGAAAAUUUGAUACAUUUACGCUAUUUGGAUCUCUCUAAGACGAGAAUCAAGAAGUUACCUGAUUCGGUUACAACCUUGUGCAAUUUACAGAUAUUAGAUUUGUCAUACUGUGAAUGUCUCACUGAGUUGCCUGAGAACAUGGGAAAACUAACAAACUUGCGUCAUCUUGAUAUAAAAGGAACUAGAUUGACUGAAAUGCCAACACAAAUGAGCAGGCUGAAAGAUCUCCAACAUUUAACAUAUUUUGUAGUUGGCACAAAUGUUGAGUCAAGCAUAAGUGGGUUGAAGGAACUCUGCCAUCUUAGGGGUAACCUCGAUAUUUUAGGGUUGGAAAAUGUAGUAAGUGGUCAAGAUGCAUCAGAGGCCAAUAUGAAGGAAAAGAAAAAUCUUGAAGGAUUAGUGUUGAAAUGGGGUGGUGAUACAGACGAUUCAAUAAAGGAAAGAGAUGUACUUGACAAGUUACAGCCUCAUGAAGGCUUGAAGACUCUCAGCAUCUUCAACUAUGGGAGCACAAAAUUUCCCGAGUGGUUAGAGGGAGCUCAUUCACUUCAUAACAUGGUUUCCUUAGAACUUAUAAGCUGUGCAAAUUGCUAUUCCUUGCCGUCAAUUGGUCAGCUACCAUCUCUAAAAGAUCUAAGAAUUAGAGGAAUGAAAGCAAUAACAAAAGUGGGUGGAGAGUUCUAUAGGGAUGCUUCUUCUUCGAUCAAACCAUUUCAAUCUUUGGAGACACUAAGCUUUGAAAGAAUGCCAGAGUGGAAGGAAUGGCAUGCACUAGGGGCUGGAGAGUUCUCUCGCCUUUUAAAGCUUCGUAUGUUCAAUUGUCCUAAGUUGACUGGUGAAUUACCUAACCAUUUCCCAUCUCUAAGGAAACUUGAAAUUUUCGGAUGCCAUGGGCUCGUGUCCAGUCAAAUUGGGUUCUUGCUGCAAGGUCUGCCUUAUCUUCAAGAAUUGAAGAUGUCAGAUAUGACAAACUUGACGAAAUUGCCGCAGCAGCUGCAACACCUGUCUUCCCUUCAGGAAUUGGUAAUCUCAAAUAUGCCAAACUUGAUGGAAUUGCCACUGCAGCUGCAACACCUGUCUUCCCUUCAAGAAUUGAUGGUCUCAAAUAUGCCAAACCUGAAGAAAUUGCCACAGCAGUUGCAAUACCUUUCUUCUCUUCGGAAAUUGAAGAUUUCAAGGAUGCCAAACUUGAAGGAGUUGCCUCUGGGAUUGUGCAGAUUAAUAAAACUUGAACGGUUGAAUAUAGAGAAAUGCCGGAGCCUUGUGUCAUUUCCGGACGUGGGAUUGCUGCCAAUGCUUAAAGCUCUGGAGAUUGAUGAAUGUGAAGCUCUGCAGUCCCUAACAAUAGCAUCAGCAAAGAGAAUGAAUGUGAAUAUGAUGGACAUCAACAAUAUUUGCCUUGAAGAGUUGCGCAUCUCUCACUGUUCAUCUCUUCUUCAGUUGUUUUUCCCGAAUGGUGGUCUACCUCCUCUUACAUUGAAAGAACUUGAGAUCAACAACUGUAGAAGUUUAGAGUUUCCCCUGCCGAAGGAGAUGAAGCAUAAUUACCACACAUGUUCCAUUAAAGUUCUUAAGAUAAAUGACUGUGAUCUUCUCAAAUCGUUGUGGUUAGGUUUCUCCCCAAGGCUUCGUUCUCUCAAAAUCAGGGGGUGUAUAAAUUUUGAAAAGCUUUCAAUUCCAGACAACGAGCUUCAAAAUCUGAUGGAGCUUAGAAUAGAGAAUUGCCCUACAAUGGUAUCCUUUGCUCAUGGAGGACUGCCCGCUCCCAAUCUGACCUCUUUUACAAUUUCGAAUUGCAAGAAAUUGAAGUCGCUGCCGCAACGAAUGCACACCUUCCUCCCAUCUCUUCAAUCAUUGCGUAUACAAAACUGUCCAGAAGUUGAAUCAUUUCCAGAUGGAGGUUUGCCAUCCAACUUAACUACACUUUGCAUCUUGUAUUGUGAGAAACUCAUGAAGGGCCGGAUGGGGUGGGGUUUGCAAAGCCUCUCAUCUCUUCGAAACAUCUGGUUUUUAGGUGGUAAAUAUGAAGAAGAAGCGCUGGAGUCAUUUCCCGAGGAGUUGCUAUUGCCCACCACUCUUACCUAUCUUUGUAUCUGUGACCUUCCAAAUCUGAAAUCACUGAACAACAAGGGCAUUCAAUGCCUCACCUCUCUUGAAAUAUUACGCAUCCACCAUUGUCUUAAGCUCCACUCCUUGCCAGCAGAGGGGCUGCCAAACUCCCUCUCUUACCUGUGGAUAUCCAAAUGUCCAUUGCUGAAACUACGUUGCCAAAGGGAAACAGGAGAAGAUUGGCCCAAGAUUUGUCAAAUCCGCCACAUAGAGCUUGAUGGUGAAGACAUUGUAAACUUAGAGUGACACUCAUGCAGCAAAACCCACCUAAUUCCUUCCACUUAGUCACAACUAAAACAACUUGCUGCAAAUCACCUCUCUUGAAAUGUACUUCAUCCACAAUUGCCGUAAGCUCCAGUCCUUGCCAGAAGAGGGGUUGCCCAACUCCGUCUCUUACCUGAGUAUAUGGGGUUGUCCAUUGCUGAAACCACGAUACCAAAGGGAGAAAGGGGAAGAUUGUUGCAAGAUUUCCCGAAUCCGCCACAUAUAUCCUCAUUGUACAGAAAUCGUAAACUUAAGAGAGUGAGAAAAAUCAUUCAUGCUCGUAUUGGAUUCCUCUGGUUUCUAUUCUUGCAGGAAUCCCUUCCACUCAGUGUGCAUUUCUUGGAGCAAUGGAAACCUUGCUUGUGACCAAAUCAAAUCACAUUAUGACCAUGUCCAGAUGAAAUUCUCAACUUCUGACGCUUGCCAAGAAACUUCAACUCUCACUCAGAUAUAGACUCUUAGGUCUCCGUUUGAUUCUAGAAAUAAUGAUGGAAGGCAAAGGGAAAUGGAAAAAGAAAUUAGAAAAAAAAGAUGGAAGGCAAAGGAAUGUGGAAAACGAAAUCAGAAGUUAAAGAAACAUUCCAUUGGUAAAAGUUUUUGAUUUCUUGACAGUUUUUUCAAUGGAUUCUCCAAAGAGCUUCUUGCUUAACAUCCGAUUUUCUUGAAACUUCCACUGUUACCAGAGGGCAAGUCACAUUUUCAAAUACAAUAUUGACCACAAACAUCAAUAGCAAGAUUUAUCUACUUCUCUCAAUUUCUCUUAUAUGAACCACUCAGUCACAACUAAAACAGCUUGCUGCAAAUUAAUCUGAAGAGGCCUCUAACUCGGAUGGUGGUACAUCUUCGUAGUGGGAGUCAGGAAGUUUUGUCAUCUGAUGAGUGGUCAUUUUUGUUUAGUAACAAUCCCUGUGAAGGCAACCAUCCUCUAACUUGGAUGGUGGUACAUCCUCUCGUGAUUUGUAGUACUCCCAAGUAAUGAGAGAAGAAAAAAGGGGCCGUGUUCGUUUGUAUGGGUUAGGUCCUACACUUAUUGACACUUGGGGAUCAUCUCCUACUCGGCUGGAGCUUUUGAGGAGGGCGACAUAGUCUGAGAAUGAGGUAAAGGUUGUACUUGCAGAAUUUCAAGAGACUAUCUAAUUUGAAGGCGAAGUAUGAUGAAAACCUUGAAAGUCUAAAACAACAAAUGGCCAUGUUAUUGCGUCAUCAUAGGCAGACUCAGAAUUUCUAGUGGACCGGUUUUGGACUAUUCCGCCACUCUAGGAGACUCCCCACAUUUUGGUUCUAGUGAUGACACUCAACCUUUGGACCAGUCAAGGCAGUAAAGCAGGAAUACAACAGAUAAGGACUUUCACUUAUGUUCAUGUGCGGGUUUAUACCAAACAAUCCUGAUAAAGAUUAUUUGGGAACCUACUGGUUGAACAUUUUCUGUAGAUUCUAUGUGGAGUGAAAUCAGACCUAGAGGGAAUUUGGUGGAAUGGCCUGAAGUUUUGUGAAAGGGAAUGUUCCUAGGCAUUCCCUCAUCCCAUGAAAGGGAAUUUGGUUGACUUUCCACUCGGGACAGAUUGAUGCAAUUUGGCUUACUUGAAAGGAGUUGUGUGUUUUGCAGGCUUAACAUUGAAGAUCAUAAUCAUAUUUUCUUCAACUGCUCCUUUUCGUCCGAAAUCCGGACUUUUAGGUAAUAUUCAAUGGCUCUCGGACAGCCUUCAGGGUAUGCUUAAAUUCAUUUUGGGAGCUACAGUCUAUGUAAUCUGGAGAGAGGAAUGAGAGGAUGAUUUCCAACUCUUACAGGGAUGUAGGCUCUGUUCAGAAGGAAAUCUCGGAGUUGGCAAGGUUCAAUAUUAGUCUUUGUGAAACAUUUCUUCUUCUGAUGAGGACAAGUGGUUACAAAGGGAAUGGGACAUCCCAGCUUCAGUGUUCAAGGUUUAGUUCAAUGCUGCUGAUUGCCUUUAAGUUCCCGUUGCCACUGCUUUUGUCUCCUGUUUUUUUGUGGAUGGUGGUCUCUUUCUAGUACAUGCUUGUUACCUUCAUGGGUUUGAGCCAGGCGUAUUCAGACGGUAUAUUUGCUAUGAAUAGUGCCCUUUGGUUGAUAGGUUAGAAUUGGAUGGGUUUGUACAGAGUCAGUGAGUAUUUUUGUUGACGAUGAUGGUGGUGUCGGGCCUCUUAGAACACCUCAUAAUCCACCAUAAGACACAUGCAAUCCCCCGUCCCACAUGGGGCAAUUACUGGAAAAUUUGGUUUCAUCCGUGAUGCUCCAUGGAUCGAACUUGUUGAUUGUGUUGUUGAUGGGACUUGGAACCUUGUUAUUUCUUGCGUUCUUUUGACUAGGCUUAUACUAGCCCAUUUGUGCUCUUGCUUUUUGCUGAUGUACUGGUGGGCUUGGGGUUAUUGGGAUUUAUUUAUUUAUUGUAUAGGUUGGUUCUUUAGUAUAACCUGUAUGAACUUUAUUUUUUAUUUUGAAAAGCCCAAUGACAUAUGCCAUUUGUAUUUACUGUA